CCUUCCGUAGGGGAACCUGCGGAAGGAUCAUUA
rnacentral:rRNA from 1 species